rnacentral:rRNA from 1 species
CCUACGGGGGCUGCAGUGGGGAAUAUUGCACAAUGGGCGCAAGCCUGAUGCCGCCAUGCCGCGUGUGUGAAGAAGGCCUUCGGGUUGUAAAGCACUUUCAGCGGGGAGGAAGGCGUUAAGGUUAAUAACCUUGUCGAUUGACGUUACCCGCAGAAGAAGCACCGGCUAACUCCGUGCCAGCAGCCGCGGUAAUACGGAGGGUGCAAGCGUUAAUCGGAAUUACUGGGCGUAAAGCGCACGCAGGCGGUCUGUCAAGUCGGAUGUGAAAUCCCCGAGCUCAACCUGGGAACUGCAUUCGAAACUGGCAGGCUAGAGUCUUGUAGAGGGGGGUAGAAUGCCAGGUGUAGCGGUGAAAUGCGUAGAGAUCUGGAGGAAUACCGGUGGCGAAGGCGGCCCCCUGGACAAAGACUGACGCUCAGGUGCGAAAGCGUGGGGAGCAAACAGGAUUAGAUACCCGAGUAGUC